UACGAAGGGGGCUAGCGUUGCUCGGAAUGACUGGGCGUAAAGGGCGCGUAGGCGGAUGGCACAGUCAGAUGUGAAAUUCCCGGGCUUAACCUGGGGGCUGCAUUUGAUACGUGUUGUCUUGAGUUCGGAAGAGGGUCGUGGAAUUCCCAGUGUAGAGGCGAAAUUCGUAGAUAUUGGGAAGAACACCGGUGGCGAAGGCGGCGACCUGGUCCGACACUGACGCUGAGGCGCGAAAGCGUGGGGAGCAAACAGG
rnacentral:rRNA from 1 species